GGCCUCGUGGUCUAGUGGUAUGAUUCUCGCUUCGGGUGCGAGAGGUCCCGGUUCAUUCCCGGUGAGGCCC
rnacentral:tRNA from 1 species